UGUGAUUGAGGCAGAGGAGCGGGGGUGAUGCGUGGGGUCAGAGCGGUAAGCGGAGGUACGGGUCGGAAAGCGGGCGCAGGUGGUGUGUUAAGCGAGAUGGGAAAGACCUGUGCUCAACCUAGGAAGAGCAUUUCGAACUGGCGAACUAGAGUCUUGUAGAGGGGGGGAGAAUGCCAGGUGUAGCGGGGAAAUGCGUAGAGAUCUGGAGGAAUACCGGUGGCGAAGGCGGCCCCCUGGACAAAGACUGACGCUCAUGCACGAAAGCGUGGGGAGCAAACAGGAUUAGAUACCCCAGUAGUC
rnacentral:rRNA from 1 species